GCCUCAAGUAAUGGGAAUGGUGACUUGGUUGAAGCAAAGUGGCUCUCCAUUCUAAACCAUGUUGCCGACGUACACGAUGGGCAUGGGGAUUUGUACCCAAAAUGUCUUCAUGGUCCUCUAGAAGACAGAGAAUGGAUCAAGAAAGGUAGCAAGGCCCACAAGGAACUUACGCUGAUUCUCACUCAAAAGAUAUUGCUCAAGGACAUCAGAAAGGUUUCACCAGGAGUACAGACUUCAUCUCUUGAGUCGUAUCACAAAAUUGUUGGUUAUUUCGCUCCCAAAUCCCGCCAUUUCUUCUAUGAGCCAAUGAAAGCAAGGUUACUGCUCGCCACACUCCACUUUAAUGAAAAUUCAAAUCGGAAACAGUGUAUGGG